UUUCUUUUGCUUUUGACGAUUUAUUGUUUGAGUAUUUAUCUUGUUUCGUUUUAGAAUCUUCGUUCUCUUAACUUUAUUUGCCUCGGUUGCUUUUUUCUUGUCAAUACGUUUCCGCUUUCGUUCUUCUUUUUCCUUUUCUUUGUUUAUUUUUUUCUCUCGUUUCAUUGCCUUUAACAUUUUCCAUUGGUUUGACGUAAGUACGAAAGGCAUUCUCUCUGUGUUUCGUGUGCCUUUUCUAACGGGACUUCCUGGCCACACUAAAUAAUCUUUUAUUGAUCCAGUACUAUAGUUCGUCGUCUGAUCCGUCAUGUUAGCGCCCAGAGAACUUCUGAUAAAAACUCCAUUGUUACGGGUAAUUUUAAUAGCGUGUCAUUUGUGCCUGAAGAUAUUUCUGAAUUGAGAUUCUCAGUUUGUUAUAAAGUUUUUAUAGGAAAAUCAUCAAAUUUCUGCUAUGUCGAAUAUUUCUUCGUCGUCGUUUAGAGGAUUAACAUCUUCAGCUACUUCUAUAAUAAUUGGAGGUCGACAGCAUUAGCUACAGAUGCAGCAUUUACUGCAUUAAUGUUCACUUGCGGUUUAGUAACUGUUACCUUAAAUCCUGUCCACAAUUUGUAUAAAAUCCAGAAUUCACUAGAAUCUUCUUUUGUUACCUCAUAAACUGUUUUGAAUUGGUUGAUUAAAUCUUCCCCAACUAUUUCGGCAAAUGUUAGGUAGCAUAGGUCUGGUGGUAGGUUUCUGCUCUGAACUUCCAAAGUCUGUGAAGAAUUCAAUUUUCCGAGGCACUUGGUGUAAUCAAUUGCGUUGACAUUCCAUGGACACAAACCAGUAGCUAUAAAACCAUUUUUUACAGCGUCUGACUAAGAAUUUAUCGAGAACAAUUUGUAAAACGUUGUUAAAUUUUUCUUGAGUUAAAGCUUAUUUUGCUUUCUCCAACAUAAAACUGCCUUUUUCCAAUAAGAUUUUAGUGGCUUGAAUGCCCUUACGCCCUCCGGUUGUAAGAUACGAGUUGAAUUUGCAUAUAGGAUAAUUAAGAUGAUUUUAAGUUGAGAACAGAGAUCACUUAGCUGGUAAGACAUAUGAGUACUAUAUCCAUCAACAAAUAAGAUGAUUGGCAAUUUCAUCUUCUUUCUUUCCAAGUAGGGAUAGAAAACAUUAGCAAUGUAUUUAAAGAAUAGUUCUGUUUUCAUCCAACCAUUUGAACUUGUCCCAAUUUCCCGUUCAUCCGGGACACAUGCAGAAAUUGAAGAGAGCAAUCUUUUAUAUGGAUAAAUUAUAAAAGGAGCCGUUACUUCACCUUCAGCGGAAAAGGAGCUAGUACUUUUUAGUUUUCAGACACAACGUGAAGCAUGUUUCAUCAGCGUUGAAAGCUCUUGAUGGAUCCUUAACCUUCCGUAGCUAACACGCCGUCUGUGAGACCGACGCCUAAGAAAAUUUCCAAUUAUUCCCAAAGAAAUCGCGAACGCGCUUGGCCAUUCUCAAUAGCUGAUUUUCUAGGGCUAGUGGACUCAGUAUCAAAAUUACUGCGGAGGUGAAUCGUUGUAGCGUGUGUUAUUAAGUAUUCGGUCUCUGAGACGGAUGUUGGUUGUGGUGUAACUUUUGUGAGAUUUCCGUAAAUAUGGCUUCUUCAACUUAUGAAGAAGAAGAAGAAAUUCGACUACAGCAUAUGUUUGAUGAAAUUGAAACGGACGUAGACGUAGCAGAAGAUAGCGAUUCAAGUUUGGGGGAAGACAAUAUUGAGAUUCAAGAAGAAAAUUCCGACAGUGAACAAGACAUAACAGAUAGCGAACUAAAUGGAAGUGGAAGCUGUAAACAGAGAAGAGAAACUCGCAUACCUUGCAUGAUAGGAAAAGAUGGAACCAAGUGGAGAAACCAUUGUCACCGAUAUCCCAAUUAUACAACAAUCGAUGAAAUGUUAUGGGCAUUCAGAGGAAGGAGUAUAUAUACCCUCGAAACCCAACAAAUAUGGCCUAAAAGUGUAUGCAUUGGUAGAUGCAAAAAUGUUUUAUACUGCGAAAAUGGAAAUAUAUGUUGGUCAACAACCAGUGGGGCCAUUUUAUGUAAACACAUCAAAUAUGUUUCUGGUGCCAAGAUUAUGUCAACCAAUUUCUGGAUCUAAUCGGAAUCUCACAACAGACAACUUCUUUUCAAGUAUUCCAUUAGCAUAUACUCUUCUCCAAGAGCAUAAACUGACACUUAUUAGUACUUUGAAAAAUAAUAAACCGCAAAUAGCACCAGAUAUGAUGAUAAAGAGGCCCGAAAUGACGACUAUGUUCGCAUUUGAAGAAAAAAGUAGCUUAGUAUCGUAAAUCCAUAAACCACGAAAAAACGUAUUUUUUCUUUCAACUAUGCAUCUUGACGACUCGAUUGAUGGGGAAACAGGAAAAACAUCGAUUAUAAUCGACUAUAACAAGACCAAAGGCGGAAUGGAUACGGUUGACAAGUUAUGCGCAGCUUAUAACUGCGCUAGGAUUACCCACCGCUGGCCUCUAGUUCUUUUCUAUGGCCUGUUAAAUAUAGCAGAAAUACUGGCAAAACAGUUAUUGGAAAACCAUAUAAAAAAGCGUUUUAACUGCAAUACGGUUCCUAG